GACGAACGCUGGCGGCGUGCUCUACACAUGCAAGUCGAACGAUGAUGCCCAGCUUGCUGGGUGGAUUAGUGGCGAACGGGUGAGUAACACGUGAGUAACCUGCCCCUGACUCUGGGAUAAGCCUGGGCAACUGGGUCUAAUACUGGAUACGACAUUCUCCUGCAUGGUAUGGGCAUGGAAAGGGUUUCUGGUUGGGGAUGGGCUCGCGGCCUGUCAGCUUGUUGGUGGGGUGAUGGCCUACCAAGGCUUUGACGGGUAGCCGGCCUGGGAGGGUGACCGGCCACACUGGGACUGAGACACGGCCCAGACUCCUACGGGAGGCAGCAGUGGGGAAUAUUGCACAAUGGGCGGAAGCCUGAUGCAGCGACGCCGCGUGAGGGAUGACGGCCUUCGGGUUGUAAACCUCUUUCAGUAGGGAAGAAGCCUUUCGGGGUGACGGUACCUGCAGAAGAAGCGCCGGCUAACUACGUGCCAGCAGCCGCCGUAA
rnacentral:rRNA from 1 species